CAGGAAUUGAGGGUUGUUUCUUUGAAGGACCUCAACAGCAGCGGAUCCCACGGUACUCUCUGAAUGACUUGGACAGUGACCUCUACAGGACAGUGGGAGAUAUUUUGGCUGUUAGUUGGCCCCGCCCCUGCCUUCUUCAGCCCAUGGACUUACAGUUACCUCUGUAGUGGACGUAUAAACCAGAAGGUUCUCAACAGUGAUUCAGUGGCAGAUGUCCAGCUGAGAGUUAAUUGACCAGGUUGAGUCGGCGACUGAGCAUUCAAUUAUAGGCCUAUCUGAUGAAAUAUUGAAUUGUGGAUAUACUGGAAAUGUCUCCAUUCCAAACAAGGACACCAUUGUUCGUGCCAUCAUACUCCACGCAAUGCUGCGGCUGCGCCUAUGUUGGAACAACUAAGGGAAGGCUUGCAGCUGUAUGGGCUCCGUUCACUGAUGAGUCAGUACCCAGAUAUCUGCCAGCCCUUGUUUGUUUCUGGGGAAGAUGUAAAACUGAGCAGAACAAAAGAGACCAUUCUUUACAAUUUGAUAUUAAAGUUAAGGAGUAAAGAGUACAUCAUUUACAUCUGGAUUUGUUCUCAUCAUAGGUCAAUGCAGAGUUUGUCAUGACAUCCAUUCUUCCUCAACUGAGUGACAAAGGGACUACCAGGCAUCAGGUUGAGCUGGAGAUGAUGAAUUUCAUUCAGGACUUCCUAUAUGAAGCUGAAGAUCAUGGGCAUGUAGAUAAAGAUGGCCUACAUCCCAUCACACCUGCAACGUUUCUGCAGUGGAUCACAGGCCAGGGUCACGUCCCACUUCUUCCCUCAGAGAAGAAGGACUUUGCAGUUGUGAUCCAAUUCAAUCAUGACUGCAGUGCAGACUUUGGGCAUCACAGUGUAUGUUACCCUGUUGUGACAGCAUGUGCCAAGACAAUCACCUUACCUGUGAGACAUAUGAGGCCCUAUGACAAAUUCAAAAAUAUCCUGACUGAAGCGUUUCAAUUAGGCCAAGAAUUUAGCAAUGUGUAAUAAGGUAACCAUUAACGACCUCUGUUCCAAGUUAACCUUACUGUUUAAGUGUUAAAGGUUUAGCAUUGACUGCUUCCAGUCAAGUAAUCUUAAAAAAAAAUGUAAUGGCAGCAAUAGAGUGGUGCAGUG